CGUAGGGAGCAAGCGUUGUCCGGAAUCAUUGGGCGUAAAGCGCGCGUAGGCGGCCCGGUAAGUCCGCUCUGAAAGUCAAAGGCUCAACCUUUGAAAGCGGGUGGAUACUGUCGGGCUAGAGUCCGGAAGAGGCGAGUGGAAUUCCUGGUGUAGCGGUGGAAUGCGCAGAUAUCAGGAGGAACACCAACGGCGAAGGCAGCUCGCUGGGACGGUACUGACGCUAAGGCGCGAAAGCGUGGGGAGCGAACAGGAUUAGAUACCCUGGUAGUCCACGCCGUAAACGAUGGGCAUUAGGUGUGGGAGGUGUCGACUCCUCCCGUGCCGGCGCUAACGCAUUAAAUGCCCCGCCUGGGGAGUACGGCCGCAAGGCUA
rnacentral:rRNA from 1 species